rnacentral:rRNA from 1 species
GGACUACAAGGGUAUCUAAUCCUGUUUGCUCCCCGCGCUUUCGUGCAUGAGCGUCAGAAAUGGACCAAGAAGCUGCCUUCGCCAUCGGUGUUCCUCUCGAGAUCUACGCAUUUUACCGCUACUCCGAGAAUUCCACUUCUCUCUUCCACUCUCAAGUACACCAGUAUCUACUGCUGGGCCUCAGUUAGGCUGAGGAAUUUAACAGUUGACUUAAUGUACCGCCUGCGCACCCUUUACGCCCAAUCAUUCCGAAUAACGUUUGCACCCCUCGUCUUACCGCGGCUGCUGGCAC